rnacentral:rRNA from 1 species
AGCGUGGAGACAGGUGGUGCAUGGCUGUCGUCAGCUCGUGUCGUGAGAUGUUGGGUUAAGUCCCGCAACGAGCGCAACCCUCACCUCUUGUUGCCAUCAGGUCAUGCUGGGCACUCUAGAGGAACUGCCCCGGUCAACGGGGAGGAAGGCGGGGAUGACGUCAAGUCAUCAUGCCCCUUACGUCCUGGGCUACACACGUGCUACAAUGGCCGGUACAAAGGGAUGCCACACCGCGAGGUAGAGCUAAACCCAAAAAGCCGGUCUAAGUUCAGAUUGGAGUCUGCAACUCGACUCCAUGAAGGAGGAAUCGCUAGUAAUCGCGUAUCAGCACGACGCGGUGAAUACGUUCCCGGGCCUUGUGCACACCGCCCGUCACACCACGAAAGCCUGCUGUACUCGAAGUCGCUGAG